rnacentral:tRNA from 1 species
CUGCGCGUAGCUAAAUUGGUCAUAGCCCACAACUUAUAAUUGUGAGGCCCUCACAAGGUAUAUGAUGGUUCGAAGCCAUCCGCGCAGA